UCUUCUUCCUGGCCACACAGUUCUCUAACCAGGGAUCCAACUCUGGCCCAUGGCAGUGAAAUUUCCAAGUCUUAACCACUGGGCCUCCAGAGAAUUCCCAAAGCCUACAAUCUUGUCUACCUGGCUCUUUACAGAAGACAUUUGCCUGGCUUAGACCCUUCACAAGUAGGAAGGUCCCCAUGAACACAAACCCUCUGUCAUUUGACUUUGCACCCUCAGUUUUGUCUUCUGCAAUGAUGCCUGUCUAUACCUGCGUUUCACAAACUCUUCUGCAAGACAGACUUGUUCAUGCAUCUGAACAACAACAAUGGCACUGGAGUCUAAGUUCUGAUGUGCCUAUGGUCUUCUCCUGCCCAUUGGCUUCUCCAGGACACAGGCUGUAUUUUAAUUCAGCUCUCAGUUGUCCAUGACUGGCAUGGCAUAGCACAAAGUAGGUACACAAUAAUGUUUUCAGUGUGGAUGAAAAAGAAGAGAUAGUAUGAAAUAUCAAAGGGAUGCAAAGUUUACUUAUGAGGUAGACCAUAUUGUUUCCUCCCACGACCAAGCCCUCUCUGGCACCUGCGAAAAAGCUUGCUUGCCCACAGGUUGCAUAACCUUUAGAGCUGUUUGUGAGUGGAUGAAUAAAGAGCACAUGGGUGCAGGCUUUCCAGGGAUCUCAGGUAGAGAACUGUCGCAGCUGCCUCUUCUACAUGGACCAACCAUCCUGAGAUUUAUAGUCAGGCCAUUCUACAUGCAAGGGGGAAGUUUUAAUUGCUUGUAAAGCUCUGUGUGAUCACAGACCCUAUACAGCUAGUAGGGGGUGAUUAAUAACUUGUAGAAUUAGCCCAAAUGUGAGCUUUAUAAUAGCUGUGAAUAUUGGAAACUGCAGAAUUAAGUAGCUUUUGUUCUGAAUUUCCUGCAAGCUUUUCUGUUCAGAGCCAUCCCUCUAACACGCCCUGCUCCAUCCACUCACCCAACAACCCCCUUGCCUUUGUUUUCCCCCAGAGUUAGAACACUGUCUCUCUCACCCAUCAGCAGCCACAGGAUGACCUGCAGCUCCCUGCACUUGCUGUGUGGGAGUGGCGUUUCAUGCCAUGGCUGAUCAGAGCAAUGCCUUCUCUAGCGACUGUCUAAUUUCUCUGAGGCUGAAAGAGAGUUCACAACGAGUUGCUCCACCUGAGCCAAAGAAGUUGCUGAAGAUUAAAAAGGGGAGAAAGCCACUUUUUGGAUUCUACCAGAAAAUCCACGCAGAACCAUAGAAACACUUAUCUUAGUCAAGAAAGCCACACAAACCCCAGAGUAGAAAAAGAAAAGAAACAAAGCCCCUAGGAAGGUCCUGGCCCUCAGCCAGAUGUAAAGGGAAUGUCACUUGUGACCUUUAUUCUCUUUGGGAUCUGUGGGUUCCAAAGAAGCAGACUGAGAUUAUUAAAAUUAGUUGUGAGGGGGUGGCACCAAGAACAGAGGUCAAAAGUCACCAAAGAGGAGAACACCCUACUAGAUGCAGGCUGAUGAUGAAUUCAUUUCAAGUAAACCCAACCCCCUGGGCAAUUCACCAUGUGUCAGGGACUGAAUUCAGCUGAGGGCUCUGAAGGCCCAUUAUACUUGGGUGUUGCAGACAAUGCAAAGAUGAUAACUCUACAUAAUGCUCGUCAUCUUCCUCCCAGGCAUGCUUCCACCUGGUGGCCUUCACCUAGUUCAAGGCAUCGCUCUCCACCUCACUGCUUGGGCCAGACGUCCCUCACGAUCACGUCCCUCAUCUAGUCAGCAAAACCUGAAGACUUCACUCCCUAGAUAUUUUAAAAUCCCUCCCUCUUCAGUAGAACCUCUGAGGUCCUUUGCAUGAGCAGCCAGCCCUUAAGCGAGCUGGCUUGUGCCUGACUCUCCAGCCUCAGCUCUCUCAGACCCUCCUUCCUGCUUUGCACCCCAUGCUUGGGGCUCUGCACUGCUGACCUGUGAUGCUUCAUGAGAACUGCAACU